GCCGCCGCGCGGUGAGUCGGUAAGUAACGGCCGCCGCGCGGAGGCAGAGCGGGAGCUCCCUGGCGUUCCCGCCCGAAGCGGCAGGCUCCGUGGGGGGAAGGAGUCGGAGGUCUGGUGAAAGGCUGAUCGAACGGAGUGCGUGGCGUUAGAGAUCUCCGAGCUUAACGCUUGCCUCUGAAAAUCGUCGUUAAUCCUUUUUUUUCCCGUUUCUUCGGGCCUCUUUAUUCCUCCUCCUUGCCUCAACCCCCCCCCCCCCCAUGAAGAAAUCUCCAAACCUGCAAGAAGAAGGAAAGGUGUCCAUACCUUGAAGAUAAACGGCGGUGAGGAAGACGUGACAACAGAAACACGGAGAGGUCACCCAGCUCUGCAGGAAGUCGCUUCCAGCCGGCGAAACGCUUAUGCUAGCAAGCCAGAACUGACUGAUCCAACUUGGAACCUGCAUCUUUGCUGAACUGAGCUGCCAAGACCAAGAGGAGAGCACUUGGUCCCAUGCACAAAUAGGCCUUCACCUGACAACCAGAGUGACAGAACUUGUGUGGGUAGCAGCCUCGGAGCCUAAGGUAUGUUUUAAGUAGUACUGGGGGAGUGAAAUGUGGUUUGUCUGGUAGGUUUUUUUUUUUUUAAUAUAAAUAUAUAUUUAUAUAUAGUAAUUGUCGUCUUCACUUCUGAGAAGAGAGAUCUGAGGCUGCCUUCUGUUCAGGCCAGUAUGGUGCCUGAGUGGAAAAUUUCACUCCUCAGUUUCAGUAAGAUACAACUUAGGCUGGUUCUUGUGAAUAGCUGUAAAAUUAAAGUUACUGCAGCAGAGCUCUGUAAUCAAGAGGUCUCCAUGGACAGCCUAUCAUCCUGAUGAGAGACACUUCUUAAUUAAGCAAAGAUGCCACAUUGUAGCUGAAACAAUUCCUAAGUGUCCCAGUUUCCCUCAUCAUAUCAAUAAGUCUGAAGUUACAGAGCUCCCAACAACAAGGCAUUUUAGAGGAUUUCAAAUUAACGAUAAGUCUAAAAGUUCAACACUCGAGCAUGUGCAGCAUUCAGAGAAUACAUUUUGAAAUGUGUCUGAAGAGCAGUAACACAGUUUUGUACUACUGCAAAGAUCUUUGAAAGGAAGAGUGCAGGUAGCAUCCCAAGUAUUGCUGGGGAGACCUGAGAUCCACACGCUUCUGUGAAAAGCUCAACUUUAGUUGCAGGCAAAUCAACUAAGAAGUAGCCCUUGCAGCUAAGGUUAACUGAUUUCAUGAUUAAACUUGUUCCAAUUAAUGGGAAGACCAGAAAGAAUCUAUGGACAAAAUAUUGGACAAACUGUUUAAGCUAUUGAGGGAGGACGCUGGUGUUUGUGAAGCAGCUGGCAGUGAGAGCCUGGAAGAAAAAAGCAAAACAGCUGCCUGCAGAUAAGCACUAAAUUCAAGCACAGGAGCAAAGUGAAGGGGAACAUGCUGCUAGUGUGCUUCAACAUAUCAAGUGGCAACACUGAAAUGCUGCAUGAGUAUCGAUCAUCUUACUCAGCUGGUUAGUACCCUUAGGUUAUGUCUACACCAGUGUGUAAUAUAGCCCCAGGGAGCGAACCUCGGUGCUCAGUCCCUGAUCAUCUGUUCUGCAUACUAUAUUCUGGAGUAAAAUUGCAAUAGUCCACAUUCAGUAAUUCUAACUGCUCCUGAAGGAUCACCAGUCGAAUGAGGCUGUCUACCAGGGUACCCUGCAAGAGCUACACGUCUAGGAGACUAGGGCACAGGCACACCAAAACCAACACGUGGUCUGGGCCAUGCCUAGUUACAUGGCAACCUGGCAUUUUUGGAACAUGAAAGCCAGAUCUCUGAGAAAUCAAGCAGCAGAGUUACAGGCAAGUCCUCACAGCAUUUUUGGUUGCCUUUCCUGGAAAGAGGCUAGUCCCAAAAUGGCCCACUGCCCAUUUUUCCUGUACCUCUACGCAUGACUAGGAGAGAAUACAAAAGGUGUAGGACAGGAAAUGUUCUCGGAUGUUGUUUCUUAGCUCUCCCCCUCCCUGUUGCCCCCAGGUAAGGGAACCGUAUAUUAAGCUGAAUUGUAUGCUGUGGGCUUUGAACUAGGGAGUUUGUAACCACUGAACAGAGAGAGAGCAUGAAGUGCCCUGGAUUGUCAUGGCAGGAGUGAAGGCACAGGGGCGUGCGCUGCCUAGAAGCAGUGUCUGUAUGAAGACUCAUUGGGUGCAGAUAAAGCCCAUCAGCAGGUUCUCAGUGUGCCUAGUUUGAAAAACAAACAGAAGCAGUGUUAGAGCAAGAGAGUGCCAAGGACUUCACCUGGGCUAAUACUACCUGGCUUCUGUGCCCCUGGCACAUUUUACUGUGUAGAUGUAACAGUCCUGUUCAUUGCCUUGCUUUGCUCCUUCCACAAAUGUUCACGAUAGGCUGAUAUUCCAACUCCGAGGCAAGAGAUGUGUUUUCAGCUAGUUUAUGGGGGAGAACUACCAUUCAGAAUAAAUAAAUAUUUUGGUAACACUA